rnacentral:rRNA from 1 species
AUUGAACGCUGGCGGCAGGCCUAACACAUGCAAGUCGAGCGAGCGGCGGACGGGUGAGUAAUGUCUGGGAAACUGCCUGAUGGAGGGGGAUAACUACUGGAAACGGUAGCUAAUACCGCAUACCAUCAGAUGUGCCCAGAUGGGAUUAGCUAGUAGGUGGGGUAAUGGCUCACCUAGGCGACGAUCCCUAGCUGGUCUGAGAGGAUGACCAGCCAAACUGGAACGUAGCCAAGGGCCAGACUCCUACGUGAGGCAGCAGUGGGGAAUAUUGCACAAUGGGCGCAAGCCUGAUGCAGCUAUGCCGCGUUGGUGAAGAAGGCCUUCGGGUUGUAAAGCACUUUCAGCGGGGAGGCGUUACCCGCAGAAGAAGCACCGGCUAACUCCGUGCCAGCAGCUGCGGUAAUUC